rnacentral:ribozyme from 1 species
UGCUCAGCAACUCCUAUCCCUACCUCCUCGCUGUACUGGCCGGGGUACGAGCAACCUAAGGGAAGAUUGGGUAACCAACCCCGGUGGGAACUCUGGUUGUAUGCUAACACGGAAGG